AAAUUUUGAAACUUUUAAUUACAGUCGACUCUCGUUAUGUCGAAGUCAGCCGGACCAGAGAAAUAUUUCGAGAUACACGUAGUUCGACUCAAACGAACACCGGAAGUUCGACAAUCUAAGGGACACAACUCUUGCUUAGCUUGGUAAAGCUAAAAUAAAUCCGUGUGAAUAUGGCAAGGGGAUCGAUAUUCUAGUAUCAGAUCGAUGUAUUUGUAUGUCACAGUCUUUUAUUAUUAUUACUUAUUCAAUUGUUUCAAUUAAAAAAAAAUCUUAUGGCUUUUCCAAGAGUGUAAAUUCCAAUCGAUAGUUUCGUUAUUCAGGUCGGUUAUAGCUGACAAAAUUGUUUAUUCUCGGAUACAAAAGAUUUAAGAAAAUUUUGAUUUCUAUUCAUUUUGUUUAUCUCACUCUUUCUUUUCAAAAGAAAAUAUAACAAGAUCAAAGACGCCGUUUGAGUAGUUUUUAGGUGAUCAUCAACGGAAGCCAUAAUCCUCACUUUAUACACACCCAAGCUCAUUAGUGUAAAUCACAAAUUAAUUGUUUUGUAAACAUUUUAAAUACUUUUUCAUGAACAUUAACAAUGUAUCACUAAUUAUUUAUCAAAAUUCUAUAAAAGAUAAUCUUAGGUAAACACUCAUGGAAAUAGCAUGUCAUAAAUCAAUACAGUGGUCAAUGACCGGAAAUUUAAUUACACGUGUAUUGUCAGAUUAACUCUUCAAUCCAUUUAAAUCCCGGAGGUCAUGUUUUGACAUAUGUGUAUUAGUUCGAGAUAAAAAAAUGAAUUUUGAAUGCUUUUGUUAACCUUGGGACCGUAGAUUUAGUUCGACUCAACCGAAAUUUCGACUCAUCCAAUUUCGACUCAUCAGGAGUCGAAUUACAUACUUUUGUAUGGAAUAAAGUUCGGGACCACGUGAAAACUUCGACUCAUCCGAAAUUUCGAGUCAACCGAGUUCGAGACAACGAGAGUUAACUGUAUAACAAACCAUUGU
rnacentral:lncRNA from 1 species